rnacentral:rRNA from 1 species
AUGUAAUGUAAUGCCUACAAGGUUAAUGCAACAAAUCCCUUUAGAACUCCAUAGUUAAGCACACUUGGGCUAGAGUAGUAUUGGGAUGGGUGACCUCCUGGGAAGUCCUAGUGUUUUACAUG